AGUGAACGCUGGCGGUAGGCCUAACACAUGCAAGUCGAACGGCAGCACAGUAAGAGCUUGCUCUUACGGGUGGCGAGUGUCGGACGGGUGAGGAAUACAUCGGAAUCUACUUUUUCGUGGGGGAUAACGUAGGGAAACUUACGCUAAUACCGCAUACGACCUACGGGUGAAAGCAGGGGAUCUUCGGACCUUGCGCGAUUGAAUGAGCCGAUGUCGGAUUAGCUAGUUGGCGGGGUAAAGGCCCACCAAGGCGACGAUCCGUAGCUGGUCUGAGAGGAUGAUCAGCCACACUGGCAGUGAGACAGGGUCCAGACUCCUACGGGAGGCAGCAGUGGGGAAUAUUGGACGAUGGGCGCAAGCCUGAUACAGCCAUACCGCGUGGAUGAAGAAGGCCUUCGGGUUGUUAAGCCCUUUUGUUGGGAAAGAAAAGCAGCAGGUUAAUACCCCGCUGUUCUGACGGUACCCAAAGAAUAAGCACCGGCUAACUUCGUG
rnacentral:rRNA from 1 species